CAGUAGCCACGGGAAUACGUAGGUGGCAAGCGUUGUCCGGAAUUAUUGGGCGUAAAGGGCUCGCAGGCGGUUUCUUGAGUCUGAUGUGAAAGCCCCCGGCUCAACCGGGGAGGGUCAUUGGAAACUGGGAAACUUGAGUGCAGAAGAGGAGAGUGGAAUUCCACGUGUAGCGGUGAAAUGCGUAGAGAUGUGGAGGAACACCAGUGGCGAAGGCGACUCUCUGGUCUGUAACUGACGCUGAGGAGCGAAAGCGUGGGGAGCGAACAGGAUUAGAUACCCCAGUAGUCCCUGUCUCUUAUAC
rnacentral:rRNA from 1 species